AGUACUCCUAACAAAAGUAAAACCAGGCCAAGCACAGCAUUAUGCAGUUCUAGAGUUCAAACACUGCUCAUUUGCAAUCGACCCUCUCAUCAUUCUUCACUCCUCUCGCUUCUGGUGGCGAGCAUGGAGGCGAUGAUGGGAACACAGCAAGGUCAAACUCAAGCACCACCGCAACAACCACCUCAACCGGAGAAGGUGGUAGAGAAGCUUAACUCAGCAGUACAGCAGCAGCUCAACUUAGAUUCCGUCAAAACUCGUGCCAUUAGUCUCUUCAAAGCCAUCUCUCGCAUUCUCGAAGAUUUCGAUGUCUUAUCUCGCUCCAAUGCCCUCCCCAAAUGGCAAGAUGUUGUCGGUCAAUUUUCGAUGGUGAAUCUCGAGUUGUUCAACAUUGUGGAAGACAUCAAGAAGGUCUCAAAGGCUUUUGUGGUUCAUCCUAGGAAUGUCAAUGCUGAGAAUGCAACAAUACUCCCUGUCAUGCUGUCGUCCAAGCUCUUGCCUGAGAUGGAAGUGGAUGACAAUUCAAAGAGAGAUCAGUUGCUUCUUGGCAUGCAAAAUCUGCCUAUACCCACGCAAAUUGAUAAGCUUAAGGCUAGAAUUGACAUGAUUGCUGCCGCCUGUGAAAGUGCUGAAAAGGUUAUAGGUGAGACCCGCAAAGCCUAUGGUCUGGAUACACGUCAGAGGAUGAGCACUGUCCCUACUUUGGACAAGGCCUUUUCUGCUAAAAUUCAAGAAAAGGAAAAUUUACUAAGGGCUGCUGUCAAUCAUGGUGAAGGGUUAAGGCUGCCUGUAGACCAGAGGCAUGUUACUUCUCCACUUCCCUCACAUCUUGCUGAUGUGCUUACUGUUGGUGACGGGGGGCAGACUUAUGGUGAUGGAUCUGGUAUGUACUCAAAGAACACUCCUGUGAUAUCCGGAAAUCACAAUAAUCAGGGACUUCCACUACAGAUGCAGGCUUCUGGCGGACAGCUUCUUGGAAGAUCAGUGCCUUCACCUUCUACUGCCACAGUAGCAUCUACCGCCGAGAAUACAGCAUCUCCAAUGCAAUAUGCAAACUCACCUAGAUCUGGUACGAACAUGAUUAAUGCACCUUCUUCCCAACAGCAAACACUCCAACAGCAACAUCAGCUGCAACAACAGAGAAAAAUGAUGCAGCUUCCUACUCAGCAGCAGCAGCAGCAACUUCUUGCUCAGCAGCAAUUUAGACAGUCUGCGAUGCAGGGUUUGGCUCAGCUGCAAGGACAAUCUCAGAUGCAAUUUUCUCAACCAUUAGCGAGCCAACAAUUUCAAAGUAGGCAGCUGCCCACUGGACAUAUUGGACAAAGCCAACUCAGCCAAGGAAACCAGCUGAAUCGGCAUAUUGGCCAAUUUUCUGGAGCUGCUAAUACAGCAUUAUUCAACGCUUCUCAGAAUUCACCUAAUGCUUCUGUGAUGUCCAUGCCAGCUACAAUGACGUCGCAAUCAAUGCUUCCAAGAAUGCAGCAGUUUGCAUUACCUGGCGGCAACCCUCAAAGGACUCAUCCUUCCCAGAUGCUUAGUGAUCAGAUGUUUAAUAUGGGAGCAAAUCAAGCGAGUAUGAUGAGUUUACCGCAGCAACAACAGGUUCCUCAAGGUGCUUUUGGAAGUAUGUCACAGAAUUCUCAAAAUCUGCAGUCUAAUAUGGUACCUCUUCAAAAUGCAACCCAAAACCUCCAAAAUUUUCAACAACAACAAAGACAGCAGAAUCAGCAAUGAUUCUGAAACUUUGUUUUUGUAGAGAAUAUUCAGUAACGUGGAGUGUGUUACUAUAGCCAUUAUGAAGGUGAUUCUUGGAUUUACAGUCCAUAGAAAGUGCACCAUUUUGGAUCUGUGCCACUGCAUUUUGGGAUAUUGUAUUAUGGUCUUACAAUGGCAAGGCGAAAGCUGUUUUUGCCCUACAUAUUAGGCUCUUGGAUCGGUAUAUAUGUAUUUUGAUUUGUUACAACUUGUAUCUACCGAAGGAGUUACAAUUUUCAGGAUAUGCUCUGUAUGUUCUAAGAAUUACAAGAAAACGGUUGACAACAAUGUUUAUGGAUGAGCAAAACAUUAUGAUAUUAAGUGUAGCAGUGUAGGUGACAUCUGAAAUCAAAACUUUAUUUAUAAAGUACAGCAUGAAGUAUAAUAGACAUGUUAUAAUUCCUUUAUCAAUCGAAUAUGUUAUUUAUUA